rnacentral:hammerhead_ribozyme from 1 species
AUCCAGCUGACGAGUCCCAAAUGGGACGAAACGUGCGUCCUGGUU